AAGAACACCAAACCCCCUACGCUUUUUCCUUCUCCUUUGAUGCUGCAUCGAGACACACAUAAACACACAUACAAAAACCCUCUCAAACUUUUCCUCCUGAUCAGUGUCAACUAGAAAUAAAUCAAAGGAAGAAUAUUUUGUUUUGUUGUUACAAUAAUCAACUAACAAGAACUUUCGGCAUCAUCAUCUUUAUCUAAUUCAUCUCUUUUCAAGAACAUUAAAUUGGUUUUGGAUAACGUGGAGAAUUGACUGUCGAUCUUCUCAAGCUACAUUGUACCUUUUAGCACUUAGAUCGCUAAGGUAACCAACAGUAAGUCUUGGAUCAUCUUGGCAUUUUAGGGCCAUUCUUUUGACUUUGGACGUAUAAUUAGCGUCAGACAUAUGAGAACUAUCAUUUUAUUAGUUCUAAUCGUACUAGACUGUUCAAAUAUUUAUCUUGUAUUCAGUGGGCCAAAUUCCAUAUAUGAAUGACUUGUAUCCGUAUUCUGGGGUUCACAUUUGAACGAUUGUACUUGUAUUAGACUUGUAUUUGGUAUUAAAUGGAUGUAAUUUCUAUUA